rnacentral:misc_RNA from 1 species
UCAAACUUGGUCAUUUAGAGGAAGUAAAAGUCGUAACAAGGUUUCCGUAGGUGAACCUGCGGAAGGAUCAUUAACGAGUUAGGGUCUCCAAGGCCCGACCUCCCAACCCUUUGUUUACCAAACCAUUUUGUUGCUUCGGCGAGCCCGUCUUCACGGGCCGCCGGGGGACCCCUAACAGAGUCUCCUGGCCCGCGCUCGCCGGUGGCCCCGAUCAAAUUCUUAACUAAACGUGUUUUGACUGAGUACCAAUUUAUUAAAUUAAAAGCAAAACUUUCAACAACGGAUCUCUUGGUUCUGGCAUCGAUGAAGAACGCAGC